AGAGUUUGAUCAUGGCUCAGGAUGAACGCUGGCGGCGUGCCUAACACAUGCAAGUCGAACGAAGCAUUAGAACUUGAUUUUUUCGGAAUGAAGGUUCUUGUGACUGAGUGGCGGACGGGUGAGUAACGCGUGGGCAACCUGCCUUACACAGGGGGACAACAGCUGGAAACGGCUGCUAAUACCGCAUAAGCGCGCGGUCUCGCAUGAGACAGUGUGAAAAACUCCGGUGGUGUAAGAUGGGCCCGCGUCUGAUUAGCUGGUUGGUGGGGUAACGGCCUACCAAGGCGACGAUCAGUAGCCGACCUGAGAGGGUGACCGGCCACAUUGGGACUGAGACACGGCCCAAACUCCUACGGGAGGCAGCAGUGGGGAAUAUUGCACAAUGGGGGAAACCCUGAUGCAGCGACGCCGCGUGAGCGAAGAAGUAUUUCGGUAUGUAAAGCUCUAUCAGCAGGGAAGAAAAUGACGGUACCUGACUAAGAAGCUCCGGCUAAAUACGUGCCAGCAGCCGCGGUAAUACGUAUGGAGCAAGCGUUAUCCGGAUUUACUGGGUGUA
rnacentral:rRNA from 1 species